AGACAUUCUGCAAGUGGAAAGGGAGGAUUUUCUUGAUUUCAGUUCAUUUGCAUGCUUUAGGACAACGAUCAGGUCAUCUGAAGUUGAGAAACUGCUCAAGAGUUGGGAGGAGAGAAAAAAUAGCCUGUUUUCCUUUUCCAAUCUAUGACUAAGAAUGAGGCAAGCGAAGGGAGGAUCUAAGAUCCUGAAGGCGAUGGCAACAAGAGGAUACAGCAUAACCUUUACCUGAACCAGUCAAAAGAAGCAUCAAGAAACACACCAGAAGCCCUGAACUGAAAGGCACAUUGUCACAAACCAAGAAUAAGACUCACCUGAUUGUUAUGCAAAAACCUGAAAGUUAAGAGAGGACUUCCAUACUUUCUUACCACCAAAAAGUACCACCAAAUUUGGCAUAAAUCUGUUUUAACCAGGGCUUUACUGUUCACAAAUAAACUGCAGUCAAGUUUUUACUAGAA